GACGAACGCUGGCGGCGUGCUUAACACAUGCAAGACGAACGGAAAGGCCCUGCUUUUGUGGGGUGCUCGAGUGGCGAACGGGUGAGUAACACGUGAGUAACCUGCCCUUGACUUUGGGAUAACUUCAGGAAACUGGGGCUAAUACCGGAUAGGAGCUCCUGCUGCAUGGUGGGGGUUGGAAAGUUUCGGCGGUUGGGGAUGGACUCGCGGCUUAUCAGCUUGUUGGUGGGGUAGUGGCUUACCAAGGCUUUGACGGGUAGCCGGCCUGAGAGGGUGACCGGCCACAUUGGGACUGAGAUACGGCCCAGACUCCUACGGGAGGCAGCAGUGGGGAAUAUUGCACAAUGGGCGGAAGCCUGAUGCAGCAACGCCGCGUGCGGGAUGACGGCCUUCUGGUUGUAAACCGCUUUCGCCUGUGACGAAGCGUGAGUGACGGUAAUGGGUAAAGAAGCACCGGCUAACUACGUG
rnacentral:rRNA from 1 species